UCUUUAUUUAAAUCUCUAUCUUAUUUCUCUGCCUUCCUUAACAUAAAAAACUUCUUCAAUCUUCAAUAUACCAACAACAAAAACACCACAUAAAGAAAGAACCCAUUUACAACUCAUCUGUCCACUAUGAACAUAAAGAAAGAACCCAUUUCACUUUUGGGCCGGAGGUCCUUUCCACGCCGGUGGAUCUGGAAGCAGCCUAUCUACUUUUGAAUUGGGGGGGAAUAUGAGGCUUUUAGACACUUAAGUUGGGUGAAAAACCCCUCAGAUUUUUUUAGGUAAAGCAGAGGUUGAUUAUGUAAAAUUCAGGAGAGUUUAUGUAAAAUUUAGGGGGUUAUGUAUGUUUAUCAAAUUCAAAUGUUUAAUCUGUAACUUUUAAGGUGA